CAACACAAUGAAUAUUUAUGUCUGUCAGAAAAGUAGACUAGAAUGAAUGAAUAAUUCAUUCAGUAUUUUGUUACGGGAUCGCUUUGAAUUCCCGCAAGAAAAGUUUUUGUUUGGACCCCUUAUAUCGUAACUCCAAGAUAAGGGGUUCAAACAUAAAUAAGGAGAAUUGAAUUUGUCCCAUUAUUUUCCCAUUAAUGUGACUUAUUUGGAGCCCUGAGUGUAAGUGAAUGCAUCAACCUUCAUGCAGCUUGAGCCGAUUCAGUCCGUCAGUGUGUGUCGAUAGUCCAAUCUGGUACAUUCAGGUCAGAACAAAACUAGCCUAUUCAUGUAACGCAUAUGUUAAAUAUUUGAUGACAGAUGAUCAGAUUAUGAUCAUUUCUGCAGCUUUAGCUGCCUCUUAAUAAGCUUAAAACGUUGAGCAGCUUACAGCUAGCAAAUCAGUCAGUUACAAUGGUGAUUGGGUUUUAUGAAAUUAAUUCAUACAUUUGCAAAUUAGGAUUUGCUGCACACACACAGAACACCUCCACAAAGAGCAUAAUCAGAAACAUUUUAUCCUUACAUUUUGCUCUUCGGGAUGCAAAAUGGAGGCGAAAGAUUGAGGUUUUUUUAGGGAUGGCUCAAAGUUGAUUUUAAGGGGUAAGCAACUAUGUAACCACAAAUCAAAUCAGUAUAUAAAAUGCAGAACCUAAGCCCAAUAGCUGCAACAUGAGUGCUGUAUUUCUAUAUGGAGAAACAUAAAUAGCA